GACGAACGCUGGCGGCGUGCUUAGCACAUGCAAGUCGAACGAUGAAGCUGGAGCUUGCUCCGGUGGAUUAGUGGCGGACGGGUGAGUAACACGUGAGCAAUCUGCCCUUGACUCUGGGAUAACUGCGGGAAACUGUAGCUAAUACCGGAUACGAGACCUGAAGGCAUCUUCGGGUCUGGAAAGAAUUUCGGUCAAGGAUGAGCUCGCGGCCUAUCAGCUUGUUGGUGAGGUAAUGGCUCACCAAGGCGACGACGGGUAGCCGGCCUGAGAGGGUGACCGGCCACACUGGGACUGAGACACGGCCCAGACUCCUACGGGAGGCAGCAGUGGGGAAUAUUGCACAAUGGGCGAAAGCCUGAUGCAGCAACGCCGCGUGAGGGAUGAAGGCCUUCGGGUUGUAAACCUCUUUUAGCAGGGAAGAAGCGAAAGUGACGGUACCUGCAGAAAAAGCACCGGCUAACUACGUGCCAGCCGCCGCCGUAA
rnacentral:rRNA from 1 species